GAUGAACGCUGGCGGCGUGCCUAAUACAUGCAAGUCGAGCGAACAGACGAGGCGCUUGCUCCUCUGACGUUAGCGGCGGGCGUGUGAGUAACACGUGUAUCCCCUACCUAUCUGACUGGUAUAAUUUCGAAACACCGGCGCUUAUCCCGGAUAAUAUAUUGAACCGCAUGGUUCAAUAGUAAAAUACGGUUUUUCUGUCUCUUCUCGCUGGAUCUGGGCCGCAUUAGCUAGUUGUUACGGUAACGGCUUACCACGGCGACGAUGCGUAGCCGACCUGAGAGGGUGAUCGGCGGCACUGGAACGGGGACGCGGUCCAGAGUACUACGGGAGGCAGCAGUAGGGAAUCUGCCGCAAUGGGCGAAAGCCUGACGGAGCAACGCCGCGUGAGUGAUGAAGGUCUUCGGAUCGUAAAACUCUGUUAUUAGGGAAGAACAAAUGUGUAAGUAACUAUGCACGUCGUGACGGUAACUAAUCAGAAAGCAACGGCUAACUACGUG
rnacentral:rRNA from 1 species